rnacentral:rRNA from 1 species
GAUCCUGGCUUAGGACGAACGCUGGCGGCGUGCCUAAUACAUGCAAGUCGAGCGGAAAUUUAUUGGUGCUUGCACCUUAAAUUUAGCGGCGGACGGGUGAGUAACACGUGGGUAACCUACCUUAUAGAUUGGGAUAACUCCGGGAAACCGGGGCUAAUACCGAAUAAUACUUUUUAACACAUGUUUUAAAGUUGAAAGACGGUCUUGCUGUCACUAUAAGAUGGACCCGCGGCGCAUUAGCUAGUUGGUGAGGUAACGGCUCACCAAGGCAACGAUGCGUAGCCGACCUGAGAGGGUGAUCGGCCACACUGGGACUGAGACACGGCCCAGACUCCUACGGGAGGCAGCAGUAGGGAAUCUUCCACAAUGGACGAAAGUCUGAUGGAGCAACGCCGCGUGAGUGAAGAAGGAUUUCGGUUCGUAAAACUCUGUUGCAAGGGAAGAACAAGUAGCGUAGUAACUGGCGCUACCUUGACGGUACCUUGUUAGAAAGCCACGGCUAACUACGUGCCAGCAGCGGC